rnacentral:rRNA from 1 species
UACGAGAGGCCCAAACGUUAUUCGGAAUUACUGGGCUUAAAGAGUUCGUAGGCGGCAUGAAAAGUAGGGUGUGAAAGCCCUCGGCUCAACCGAGGAAUUGCGCUCUAAACUGUCGUGCUCGAGGAACCUAGAGGUGAGCAGAACAGAUGGUGGAGCGGUGAAAUGCGUUGAUAUCAUCUGGAAUACCGGAGGCGAAGGCGGCUCUCUGGGACGGUACUGACGCUGAGACGCGAAAGCGUGGGGAGCGAACAGG